rnacentral:rRNA from 1 species
UACGUAGGGUGCGAGCGUUAAUCGGAAUUACUGGGCGUAAAGCGUGCGCAGGCGGUGAUGUAAGACAGGUGUGAAAUCCCCGGGCUUAACCUGGGAACUGCAUUUGUGACUGCAUCGCUGGAGUGCGGCAGAGGGGGAUGGAAUUCCGCGUGUAGCAGUGAAAUGCGUAGAUAUGCGGAGGAACACCGAUGGCGAAGGCAGCCUCCUGGGCCAGCACUGACGCUCAUGCACGAAAGCGUGGGGAGCAAACAGG